AUUCGGCUUAGGGCAAGUCUGGUGCCAGCAGCCGCGGUAAUUCCAGCUCCAAUAGCGUAUAUUAAAGUUGUUGCAGUUAAAAAGCUCGUAGUUGAAUUUCGGGAUCAAUAUAUUGGUCAUGCUUAGGUAUGUACUGGUAUUAUUGAUUUCUCCCUUCUGAAGAACCAUGAUGUCAUUAAUUUGAUGUCGUGGGGAAUCAGGACUGUUACUUUGAAAAAAUUAGAGUGUUUAAAGCAGGCUUUCGCUUGAAUACAUUAGCAUGGAAUAAUGAAAUAGGACGUUUGAUUCUAUUUUGUUGGUUUCUAGGAUCGACGUAAUGAUUAAUAGGGAUAGUUGGGGGCAUUAGUAUUCAAUUGUCAGAGGUGAAAUUCUUGGAUUUAUUGAAGACUAACUACUGCGAAAGCAUUUGCCAAGGAUGUUUUCAUUAAUCAAGAACGAAAGUUAGGGGAUCGAAGACGAUCAGAUACCGUCGUAGUCUUAACCAUAAACUAUGCCGACUAGGGAUCGGAUGAUGUUAAUUUUUUAAUGACUCAUUCGGCGCCUUACGGGAAAC
rnacentral:rRNA from 1 species